UUUGUGAUAUUUUACGCCAGUUCGGUUGACCUCUGUGCAGGUGGUUUGCUUCUGAAACCAGUUCUGUCUGGACCCAGUGAGGCCUAUGUGAGAUCUGAAGUCCAGUUUGACUGUGCAGUUCCAGGCUGGUCUUCACCUCUGACCUAUGAACUCUAUAAGGAUGCAGGGGACGUUAUCGCGGCAGAAAACAACGUCAAGGCCACCUUCACCCUGCAGGUCAAUGAGGAGUCAAAGGGCGAAUACUACUGCAGACUGACCACUGGAGGUCAAACCAGCAACUCCAUCCACUUCCAAGCAGUGAUUCCUGUGUUAGGAGUCCGUCUGAGCUCAGAUCCCGAUCCAGCGAUCCUCUAUGAAGGACAGAAGUUGGUCCUGCGCUGUCUGGUCAGGAAGGGGACGCAUCUGUCCUUCACAUGGUACCACAACAAACAGGAAGUGAACUCCUCAUCAGAGCUCCACCGGCUCUCUGGAGACUCUCUCACGAUGGACAGGGUGACUGAAAUGCAUGCUGGGAUAUACUCAUGCACCGCUCGAAACCAGAUGACCGUCAACCCCAGAUUCUCCAGCAGCCAAAGCCUCCACGUCACUGUCAGAAGUAACACACUUAUCAAACCUCACUUCUGCUUUUCAGAGAAACGACACAUCUUUCAUCGUCCAAUCAAGUCUUGUGCAUUUGUUUCUGCUGAAUAUCCUGCAGUGAAUUAACAACCUAUAGCAAUUUUUCAUAUUCAUCAUCAUUUCCUUUCAAAAUGUUUGCUGAGGAUGCUAAAGCAGAAAAUUGAACCUGAUCCAAUUUUUAUUUUACGACAGAUUAAUUUUCGGAGGCAGUGUGUGAUUGGCACAACGUAAAGUCGUAUUUAUUUUUUAACGCGUGAAAAAUUUUGGAUAAGAAUUUCGGACUCAGUGUGCCAAGACCUUAAAUUGCCAAUGAAACAUUUCUUAUUUUUGUUUUGUUUAAGUUUUUAAACAAAUAUUUAUAUUUUAUUUUAUAAUUUAGUUCCUUGCACACCGACUCCGAAAUUUUCAUACGUGAUCUUUCAUUGUUUUUACAGAUUCGUCACCCUUUCCUAUCAAAAUGUUUUUUCUGCGGAAAAUCAAACCUGUUACGAUUUUUUUUUACGACAGACAAAAGUUUUGAAGGCAGUGUGUAAACAUGAUUUAGUUCGUACUGUAUUCAUUCAAGUGUCAAAAUUUCGUAAAAAUCAAAGAAAGAGUGUGCAAAGUAAUUUUGUUUUUAUUAAUAAUAAUAAUAAUAAUAUUAAUAAAUCUUAGGUUUACUUAACUGAACUAAAACAAAACAAAAAUGUAAUCUAUAAUAUAUAUUAGAUUUUUUAUUUUAUUUUAUUUCUGAUUUAUUUAAAUUAACACUUUUACCAUCCAGUCAAGUCCUGUCCAUUUAAUUUAACUGAAUGUGAAUAUAAAGUUUCAGAAUGAAAUCUUCAGAACUGUUUUGUAUUGAUUUCUACACCUGUUUUCUGAUCUUCAGAGCACAUCUCGGUGCCCUCGUUAUCGUUUACGGUCUUCUCUAACGGCUCGGGCCUAACAGCCAACAUCAGCUGUCGAUCUGAGCGUGGAUCUCCGCCCGUGACGUUCAGACUGAUGUUGGACGGACUGGAGCUGAAUGUGAAGCGAGUGGAUUCACUAGAGGCCUGGUUCGUUCUGCGAUCUCUGUGGGUCUGGAUCUGGGAGUCGCUCAAUGUGAAGCACAAACAGAAACCCAGCAGCUGCUGUCGGAUCCAGAGCGUUUACUUGUAGGUGAGUUUGUUCCUUGAUUCCAAUUCUUAGAUUUGUGUGUAACGUUUUCAGAAAAGAGGCAAUGUUUUGAAAACGUGUGUAACAUGCAGCUGGCCACUGUUUGUGUUAGUUCCAGUAGGUG
rnacentral:lncRNA from 1 species